rnacentral:lncRNA from 1 species
UGUCACGACCCCCGCCCCGUUCCCGGCGGGCCGCCGCGACGGUCCUAGGGUGCGGGUAGGCAUAAGGCCACCAGCCACCGCGUAGACCCUACUACCUAUCAAUCAUCAAUAGAUCUUGAAAAAUUUGGCAUGAUACAUGCACAAAAUGAUCACUUUUCCUAUAGUGAUCUGUCAGGAUUAUCUCAAUACAUACAACACACUACCUGUCAGAGCAGCAAUCACAUAAUCUGUCACAUAAUAAACCUGGACAAUAUAUAGCAAUACAUUAUCACAGGCACACAACUGAUCUGCACACAUAUAUAUAUAUACCUGCUUCCCAAUCCAUCCAUGGUCAAACCCAUAUCUACAACAGGAUCUAUGACUGUAACUAUGCACUAUAUACAAUAGAAGGUUUAUAAUACA